UAUGAUUCGACUUUUCCGAAGAUAUGAUCUAAAAAUUAAUUGUUAAUGUGAAACUCAAAUAAUGAUAGAUUAUACAAUCUAAUAUGCAUGAUGCUUAUUAAUAAUAAGGAAACAGUUAAACUUGUAUGAAAAAUUGGUAUUUUGAAUUUCCUCGUGUGCAGAUAAAGGUUCAGAUUUCCAAAAAGUUUAUACCAAAUGAAAAAGAACCAUCUAAGAUAUGUAUUUUUCAUCGCUUUAAUAAUAAUUUAUUUAAAAAAAUUCCAUUAUUUAAAAAAAAAAUUGAAGUUAUCAAAAAAACUAAACGGACUAAGUUGAUACAUGCUAGUAGAGGAAAAUCAAUACACGUAAGUAGUCCCCUUAAAACAAAAGCUUAAAAGAUAUAAUUUUAGGCUUAUUUUAGUUUAAAACCUAUUACUUAAUGUAAUUUAACCUAAAUAAUGUCGUUUAAAGACUACAUUCAUGUAUACAAUUAUUACUUUGAACUUUAUUAAGUUUAUUAUUUGUUUAAUAAUAGAGAGAGAAUGUUUUAAAAACUAAUAAAUUAUUAAAUAUUAAUGAAUAAUAAGAUUAUAUUAAUAGUAUAUUUUUAAUCAUAAAUAAAUUUUUCAACCUUUAAUAUUGAUGUAUUAAGU